AGUACUUGAAUAUAAUUCUAAAACUUUUAUUUUCUACCCUGUAACACAGAUGGUGCCAUAUAACUCUGUAAUGAAGGGUAAUGUUGUAGGAUAAAGUCUUGGUGGAAAUAUUCUUUUUGUUUUUCCAUAAGGAUGGACGGAAUAUAGGAAUGUAUGUAACGUUAUUGUAAGACCACAUGUGCUAUAUACAGUGACUUGGCACAAGGCACCUGGCUUACAGGUGCUCUGGCAAGUGGUGUUGGGAAGGCUUCUUUCCUUUUGUAUUUCUAAUAUCAUGUGCAUGAAAUGAUUUUAAUGUGUUUUUUUGUGUUGGAGUCUAUACUGCAGGCAGUCCCUUUCGGCUAAGCAGUUUGCCUUUGAAUGUGGUUCCCGGAAACAGGUGACAAUCUCAUUUUCUUUCUUGAGAGGAUCCUUUGUUCUGGGUGGUGCCCGGGAUUGCUAGCUGGAGCAGUUCUCUUUUCCUUGAUGCCUUGCUGCUCCGUUGGAAACGCAUCUGCCUGGAACAUGGCCAUCUAAGGGCUGAUCUUUCAGCAUGUGAAAUAAAGUGAGGAAGGGGAAAAAUAGCCAUCCAUACAACCGUCCUGCUUUGCUGGGCAUUAGGUUCAUGAGUCUUACAACUGGCCAUCUGAAGCCCAAGGAGUAGAGUUAGUGAUCUUGGAGUACCUAUGAACAUGGAAGCUCUGUGAUUUCCAGAACUAGAAACUGCCUACUCUGGAAUGAUAAAUAAAUAUGUUUAACUUCUUGGUAUGUAUAAAUAAAUGUAGACACAUUUGUUUAUUUUAGAAUAAAUAAAAAUCAGUAAUUUGAUCAUUCAGAUUCACUACUUUAAACAUUUCACAAAUUCUUCAAUGAAUAUCAGUAAGGUUUUUAUGUAUUUAACAAUUGAGUUAUUUUAACCACCCAUAUUUUUUAUAUAAUAGGAGAAAUGGGACUCUGUCUCUUUACUAUUUUUCUCUAAUGUUCUUAUACAAAGGCUCACUUAUUUUCUUUUUCUUCAUUCUCUCCCUUUGUAAGAAAGUUCUUUUACAGGUAAAAUAAUGUCAUGGGCUGAACUGUGUCUCCUCAAAAUGUGUAUGUUGAAGCUAUAACCCCCUAGGUGCCUGCAGCUGGAGAUGGGGCCAUUAGGGAGAUAAUUAAGGUUAAAAGAGAUCAUAAGAGUGGGGCUCUAGUCUGAUAGGCUGGUGUCCUUAUAAGAAAAGGAAGAGGCAGCAUCCUCUCAUCUCUCUCUCUCUCUCUCUCUCUCUCUCUCGCUUUGUGCGUGUGUGUGUGUGUGUGUGUGUGUGUGUUUGUGUGUCUGUCUCUCUCCAUGCAGGAAGAGAGAAGAAUCCAUGUGAGGACACAGUGAGAGGGCAGCCUUCAACAAGCCAGAAAAAGAGGCCUGCUAUGGUCUGAAUGUUCAUGUCUCCUGUGAAUUCACACGUUAAAACCUAAUCACAAUGCAAUGGUUUUAAGAGGUGGGGCCUUUAGAAGGUGAUUAGGUCAUGAGAGCGAGCACUAGCCUCAUGGGAAUCAUGCCUUAUCAAGGAGGCCUGAGGGAGCUUGUUGGCCUCUUUUGCAAGGAGAGGACACACAGAAGGCACCAUAUGUGAGCAACAGGCCCUUACCAGAUACUGAAUCUGCUGGUGGCUUGAUCUUGUACUUCCUGGCCUCCAGAACUGUGAGCAAUAAAUUUCUGUUCUUUAAAAAUUACCCACUCUGUGGCAUUUUAAAAUGAUAACCCUAGUAGACUAAUAUAAAAUGUGAAGCAAAGAUGGAAUCAGUCCUAAUUAUCUCUAACUCUGAACCCAACUCAACUUUCUUCCUAGCCUAUAUAAAAUAAGCUUAUUUAAGCAUUUAUU
rnacentral:lncRNA from 10 species